rnacentral:rRNA from 1 species
GAUGAGCGCUGGCGGCGUGCCUAAUACAUGCAAGUCGAGCGAACAGACGAGGAGCUUGCUCCUCUGACGUUAGCGGCGGACGGGUGAGUAACACGUGGAUAACCUACCUAUAAGACUGGGAUAACUUCGGGAAACCGGAGCUAAUACCGGAUAAUAUAUUGAACCGCAUGGUUCAAUAGUGAAAGACGGUUUUGCUGUCACUUAUAGAUGGAUCCGCGCCGCAUUAGCUAGUUGGUAAGGUAACGGCUUACCAAGGCAACGAUGCGUAGCCGACCUGAGAGGGUGAUCGGCCACACUGGAACUGAGACACGGUCCAGACUCCUACGGGAGGCAGCAGUAGGGAAUCUUCCGCAAUGGGCGAAAGCCUGACGGAGCAACGCCGCGUGAGUGAUGAAGGUCUUCGGAUCGUAAAACUCUGUUAUUAGGGAAGAACAAAUGUGUAAGUAACUAUGCACGUCUUGACGGUACCUAAUCAGGAAGCCACGGCUAACUACGUG